GGAUUAGGCUGCAAGUCGCACGAGAAAGGCUUCUUCGGAAGCCGAGUAAAGUGGCGAACGGGUGAGUAAUGCAUAGACAACUCGCCCUUGAGAUGGGGACAACGCCUCGAAAGGGGUGCUAAUACCCAAUGCCGCCUUGGGCCUGCGGGUCCAGGGUGAAAGGAGGCCUCUGAUUCAAGCUUCCGCUCAAGGAGAGGUUUAUGUCCUAUUAGCUAGUUGGCGGGGUAACGGCCCACCAAGGCUGCGAUGGGUAGCCGACCUGAGAGGGUGACCGGCCACAUUGGGACUGAGACACUGCCCAGACUCCUACGGGAGGCUGCAGUCGAGAAUCUUCCGCAAUGCGCGCAAGCGUGACGGAGCGACGCCGCGUGGGUGAUGAAGGCCUUCGGGUUGUAAAACCCUGUCAGCUACUACGAAACACGGGCGGUGAACAAUCGUCCCGUCUGACUUAAGUAGCAGAGGAAGCACCGGCUAACUACGUGCCAGCAGCCGCGGUAAUACGUAGGGUGCGAACGUUGUUCGGAAUCACUGGGCAUAAAGGGCGCGUAGGCGGUCUGAUAAGUCAGGUGUGAAAUCCCUCGGCCUAACCGAGGAACUGCAUUUGAUACUGUCGGGCUAGAGUACAGGAGGGGAGAGUGGAAUUCCUGGUGGAGCGGUGAAAUGCGUAGAUAUCAGGAGGAACGCCGGCGGCGAAAGCGACUCUCUGGCCUGUUACUGACGCUGAGGCGCGAAAGCUAGGGGAGCAAACGGGAUUAGAUACCCCGGUAGUCCUAGCCCUAAACGAUGGGCACUAAGUAGAGGGGUUUU
rnacentral:rRNA from 1 species